AGUGAACGCUGGCGGUAGGCCUAACACAUGCAAGUCGAACGGCAGCACAGUAAGAGCUUGCUCUUACGGGUGGCGAGUGGCGGACGGGUGAGGAAUACAUCGGAAUCUACUUUUUCGUGGGGGAUAACGUAGGGAAACUUACGCUAAUACCGCAUACGACCUACGGGUGAAAGCAGGGGAUCUUCGGACCUUGCGCGAUUGAAUGAGCCGAUGUCGGAUUAGCUAGUUGGCGGGGUAAGGGCCCACCAAGGCGACGAUCCGUAGCUGGUCUGAGAGGAUGAUCAGCCACACUGGAACUGAGACACGGUCCAGACUCCUACGGGAGGCAGCAGUGGGGAAUAUUGGACAAUGGGCGCAAGCCUGAUCCAGCCAUACCGCGUGGGUGAAGAAGGCCUUCGGGUUGUAAAGCCCUUUUGCUGGGAAGGAAAAGCAGCAGGUUAAUACCCCGCUGUUCUGACGGUACCCAAAGAAUAAGCACCGGCUAACUUCGUG
rnacentral:rRNA from 1 species